AGACCCGAAACCCGGUGAUCUAGCCAUGGGCAGGUUGAAGGUUGGGUAACACUAACUGGAGGACCGAACCGACUAAUGUUGAAAAAUUAGCGGAUGACCUGUGGCUGGGGGUGAAAGGCCAAUCAAACCGGGAGAUAGCUGGUUCUCCCCGAAAGCUAUUUAGGUAGCGCCUCGUGAAUUCAUCUCCGGGGGUAGAGCACUGUUUCGGCUAGGGGGCCAUCCCGGCUUACCAACCCGAUGCAAACUGCGAAUACCGGAGAAUGUUAUCACGGGAGACACACGGCGGGUGCUAACGUCCGUCGUGAAGAGGGAAACAACCCAGACCGCCAGCUAAGGUCCCAAAGUCAUGGUUAAGUGGGAAACGAUGUGGGAAGGCCCAGACAGCCAGGAUGUUGGCUUAGAAGCAGCCAUCAUUUAAAGAAAGCGUAAUAGCUCACUGGUCGAGUCGGCCUGCGCGGAAGAUGUAACGGGGCUAAACCAUGCACCGAAGCUGCGGCAGCGACACUGUGUGUUGUUGGGUAGGGGAGCGUUCUGUAAGCCUGUGAAGGUGUGUCGUGAGGCAUGCUGGAGGUAUCAGAAGUGCGAAUGCUGACAUAAGUAACGAUAAAGCGGGUGAAAAGCCCGCUCGCCGGAAGACCAAGGGUUCCUGUCCAACGUUAAUCGGGGCAGGGUGAGUCGACCCCUAAGGCGAGGCCGAAAGGCGUAGUCGAUGGGAAACGGGUUAAUAUUCCCGUACUUGGUGUUACUGCGAAGGGGGGACGGAGAAGGCUAUGUUGGCCGGGCGACGGUUGUCCCGGUUUAAGCGUGUAGGUGUGUGUUCCAGGUAAAUCCGGUUCACUUUAACACUGAGGCGUGACGACGAGGCACUACGGUGCUGAAGCAACAAAUGCCCUGCUUCCAGGAAAAGCCUCUAAGCAUCAGGUAACAUCAAAUCGUACCCCAAACCGACACAGGUGGUCAGGUAGAGAAUACCAAGGCGCUUGAGAGAACUCGGGUGAAGGAACUAGGCAAAAUGGUGCCGUAACUUCGGGAGAAGGCACGCUGACACGUAGGUGAAGUGAUUUACUCAUGGAGCUGAAGUCAGUCGAAGAUACCAGCUGGCUGCAACUGUUUAUUAAAAACACAGCACUGUGCAAACACGAAAGUGGACGUAUACGGUGUGACGCCUGCCCGGUGCCGGAAGGUUAAUUGAUGGGGUCAGCGCAAGCGAAGCUCCUGAUCGAAGCCCCGGUAAACGGCGGCCGUAACUAUAACGGUCCUAAGGUAGCGAAAUUCCUUGUCGGGUAAGUUCCGACCUGCACGAAUGGCGUAAUGAUGGCCAGGCUGUCUCCACCCGAGACUCAGUGAAAUUGAACUCGCUGUGAAGAUGCAGUGUACCCGCGGCAAGACGGAAAGACCCCGUGAACCUUUACUAUAGCUUGACACUGAACAUUGAGCCUUGAUGUGUAGGAUAGGUGGGAGGCUUUGAAGUGUGGACGCCAGUCUGCAUGGAGCCGACCUUGAAAUACCACCCUUUAAUGUUUGAUGUUCUAACGUGGACCCGUUACCCGGGUUGCGGACAGUGUCUGGUGGGUAGUUUGACUGGGGCGGUCUCCUCCUAAAGAGUAACGGAGGAGCACGAAGGUUGGCUAAUCCUGGUCGGACAUCAGGAGGUUAGUGCAAUGGCAUAAGCCAGCUUGACUGCGAGCGUGACGGCGCGAGCAGGUGCGAAAGCAGGUCAUAGUGAUCCGGUGGUUCUGAAUGGAAGGGCCAUCGCUCAACGGAUAAAAGGUACUCCGGGGAUAACAGGCUGAUACCGCCCAAGAGUUCAUAUCGACGGCGGUGUUUGGCACCUCGAUGUCGGCUCAUCACAUCCUGGGGCUGAAGUAGGUCCCAAGGGUAUGGCUGUUCGCCAUUUAAAGUGGUACGCGAGCUGGGUUUAGAACGUCGUGAGACAGUUCGGUCCCUAUCUGCCGUGGGCGCUGGAGAACUGAGGGGGGCUGCUCCUAGUACGAGAGGACCGGAGUGGACGCAUCACUGGUGUUCGGGUUGUCAUGCCAAUGGCACUGCCCGGUAGCUAAAUGCGGAAGAGAUAAGUGCUGAAAGCAUCUAAGCACGAAACUUGCCCCGAGAUGAGUUCUCC
rnacentral:rRNA from 1 species